rnacentral:rRNA from 1 species
UAAAAUGGCCAUAUCACCUUGUCAGUGCCAGCAUUUGUCUCAUCUUGGAAGCUAAGCAGGGCUGUUCCUGGUUAGUACUUGGAUGAGAGAGCACUGAGAGUACCAGGUACCACAGUGA